AAAACAGUUGCUGAAUUAAGGAGAGAACAUAAUCUACCAGUGCCUGUCAACAAGGAUUCGUUAUAUAAGCCAAUUGAACGAAAGCGGAAAAAGUUCAACCCCUUGGUAAUUCCCAAGCAAUUACAGAAAGGUCUCCCCUUUGCCUCUAAGCCCAAGGAUGCUCCAGCUCGGAAGCGACCACUCCUGGAAGAUCGGAGGGCUGUGGUGAUGGAACCCCAUGAGCGCAAAGUGCUUGCUAAUAUUCAAAAACUUAGACUCAUUCAGCAUGAGAAGAUAAAAA
rnacentral:misc_RNA from 1 species